UACGAAGGGGGCUAGCGUUGCUCGGAUUUACUGGGCGUAAAGCGCACGUAGGCGGAUUUUUAAGUCAGGGGUGAAAUCCCGGGGCUCAACCCCGGAACUGCCUUUGAUACUGGAAGUCUUGAGUAUGGUAGAGGUGAGUGGAAUUCCGAGUGUAGAGGUGAAAUUCGUAGAUAUUCGGAGGAACACCAGUGGCGAAAGGCGGCUCACUGGACCAUUACUGACGCUGAGGUGCGAAAGCGUGGGGAGCAAACAGG
rnacentral:rRNA from 1 species